AGAGUUUGAUCCUGGCUCAGGAUGAACGCUGGCGGCGUGCCUAAUACAUGCAAGUCGAACGCACAUUUUCGGAUGUGAGUGGCGAACGGGUGAGUAACACGUAGGUAACCUGCCCAUAAGACGAGGAUAACUACUGGAAACGGUAGCUAAUACUGGAUAGGAUAUUGGAUCGCAUGAUUUAAUAUUUAAAGGUGCUUCAAAGCAUCACUUGUGGAUGGACCUGCGGCGCAUUAGCUAGUUGGUGAGAUAAAAGCCCACCAAGGCGACGAUGCGUAGCCGGACUGAGAGGUUGAACGGCCACAUUGGGACUGAGACACGGCCCAGACUCCUACGGGAGGCAGCAGUAGGGAAUUUUCGGCAAUGGACGCAAGUCUGACCGAGCAACGCCGCGUGAGUGAUGAAGUUCUUCGGAACGUAAAAUUCUUUUAUUUGGAAAAAACGUAUAGUGUAGGAAAUGACAUUAUAGUGAUGGUACCAAAUGAAUAAGCCCCGGCUAACUAUGUGCCAGCAGCCGCGGUAAUACAUAGGGGGCGAGCGUUAUCCGGAUUUAUUGGGCGUAAAGGGUGCGUAGGCGGUAAAUUAAGUCUAAGGUUAAAGUGCAGGGCUCAACCCUGUGAUGCCUUAGAAACUGGUUUACUUGAGUUUGGUAGAGGUAAGUGGAACUCCAUGUGUAGCGGUAAAAUGCGUAAAUAUAUGGAAGAACACCAGUGGCGAAGGCGGCUUACUGGGCCACAACUGACGCUGAGGCACGAAAGCGUGGGGAGCAAACAGGAUUAGAUACCCUGGUAGUCCACGCUGUAAACGAUGAAUACUAAGUGUUGGAAAAAUCCAGUGCUGAAGUUAACGCAUUAAGUAUUCCGCCUGAGUAGUACGUACGCAAGUAUGAAACUCAAAGGAAUUGACGGGACCCCGCACAAGCGGUGGAGCAUGUUGUUUAAUUCGAAGAUACGCGAAGAACCUUACCAGGUCUUGACAUCCGUUGCAAAGCUAUAGAGAUAUAGUGGAGGUUAACAGCGAGACAGGUGGUGCAUGSCGUCGUCAGCUC
rnacentral:rRNA from 1 species